rnacentral:lncRNA from 1 species
UUUUUGAAUUGGGAUUCUUUAGUCCUAAUAGUUCUGCUAAUAUGUACGUGGGGUUGUGGCACAAAAGUAUAUUUCCUCGUAAAAUUGUAUGGGUAGCUAACAGAGAAAACCCCCUUGCAGUUAAAGACACCUUGGCUACUUUGAGAAUCGGCAGCAAUGGAAAUCUGGAGCUUGUAGAUGGGAAGCAGAGUUCUGUAUGGUCAACCAAUGUUUCGGUGUCAACUAAUGGUUCGGCUGCAGUUCUUUUGGACAGUGGAACCUUUGUUCUCAAAGAUNNNNNNNNNNNNNNNNNNNNAAGGUUUCAGCAGUCUCUUUCUUAUUGUUUACAUAAUACUUAACAAGCCAAAGACAUUAGUCUAACAACUGUAGCCGUCAUAUUCGUAUUUUGUCAGGCAUGGCACUUAUGGAAUCAAGGCAGGGGAUUGGAGUUAGUAGACGAAGUAUUGGCUGAUUUAUAUUCGUCAGCAGAAGUAAUGAGAUGCCUGCAGAUUGGGCUUCUUUGUGUACAAGACAAUGCUGUGGAUAGGCCAAGCAUGCUAGAAGUAGUUCUCAUGCUAAGUAGUAACACAGACAGUCCACAACCAAAGCAGCCUACAUUCACUUUCCACAACCCCGUCUCUCCUCCUCAACCACAUUAUGCGAAAAGCACUUGUUCCAGAAAUGAAGCUACCAUAACAAUAAUCGAAGGGCGAUGAUAACUACAACUUUUUGCAUCACAAAAUUCUUUAGAUUAAGCUGCAUUUCAGACUUCAGGUCAAUCAUUAUGCAAUGUUGUAAUCAGUUUACAUAUAUGGAAACCAAGGUGUUGAAGUUUUGAUAAUCAGUUUCGAUUAUGGUGAAUAAUGAUGCUUCUUCUUUCAUCUUGGACCCUAAGUUAUCGAGUCAAAAAUCUCCAGAAGGAGCCUAAAGUUGAUGUCAAAUUUGUCUCCCAUCGUUUUUGAACUAGUGCCCGAUCAGUCAUAGAACUUUCAAUAUUACUCGCCUAAGCUUAGGUCUCUAUAGACGCUUCUCUUCUUUCAAUAGUAGACCUAUCUUUCAAAAACUGUAAUACUUUGUUGUUUUUCUUGUUCAUCUCCAGUUUGCUUCCCUCCCAGUAUAGUGCUCAGCUCUAGAACAUGACUCCUUCAAUCCCAUUAGCACCAGGAGAAACUCUAACUCUAGUCUCCCUAAUCAUUUACUCAGUACACCCAUUACAAAAGGCCCAAAGCAAGAAAGCUUACAAGUACCCAACACCUAAAGCCCAAAAGAAACCUUUAAAUUGUGGACCUUUUGGAAAUUUGUGUGAGAGCCAUCCGAAGAGCUAGAGCAUCUGCUCGCACUUUUUCCCUUGACCCCUUUCAGGUGAUCCAUUGCAAAAGUUUUAAUCUUUUACAUCAGUCAUUUUACAUUAUCAAUCUUUUUAGUUAAUGAUGUUGAUGGGUGUUUUGAUUAUUUCAUUUUCAGAUUGAUUGGGUGUUAGAUAUUUCCUGGGUUUAAUUUUUCUUUUUCCCAAUUUGUUUGGUGCUGAAUUUACCUACCUAAUGAUUUCUUUGCUUGUAAAAUCUGGGUCUCUCUUUGGAUGAACUAUCAUACACUGCUUCGCUUCCUUCACUUAAAUUUCAAUUCUUUAUUGUUAAUUGUUUCCAUGGUUGAAAACAAUGGCUUAAAUUUUUAGUGGUACUGAAAGUGACCAGAGAAGACUGAGAAGAUAGAUUUAAUGUUUAUUUUAGGUAAUUUGGUGUAGAAAAAUUCCCCUUACUCUUGGGGUUUGUAGUACAUGAAGAUUUCCAAAGUGGAUUGACCCGUAUUGAUGCUUUUAUACUCUGCACAUACGGCACGAGUCGUAAGCACUUCUAAGUCUUUUUUGCAUGAAGUUGAAUCCUGUCAAUGAAUACAAGGAUAUCCAGUUUUCUUGCCUUCUGUUGAAAUGUUCUUUCAUCCAUGCUAUAAAAUUACCCAAAUAUCUGUAACAUUUUUGAUGAAGUGGUGCGAGGUUUUUGAUGCCAGUCACCUAAUCAUUUACUCUGUACACCCAACAUCUUGAGCCCAAAAUGAAGACUUCAAAUUAAGAACCUUUUGGUGCACUGACUGUGACUGCUUUCAAUUGCAGCUCUUGGAAUAGGCAGUUCAGCUUUCUUCUUUGAACUGGUGAGUCCCCUGCCCUCACUUCCCUCUGACUCCUCUCAGGUAUUUUCAUUUCUUGUUUCAUUUAAUGUAAAUUGAGCAUUGGCAUAUUGAUUUAGUAAGUAAUUUCAGGUAGUAUAUUCCAUUUCUUAAUACCAUACUUUUUUAUUCUUUUCCUUGCAUGUAAUUUGGGCCUCUCUCAAGAUGACAAAUAUCAUAUGGUUCUUUGCUUCCUUCGCUUCAACUCCAAUUCAUUUCUCAAUACUACACCAUGUCCUUGGUUGAUAAUCUGAAAGUGACCGAAGAAGAUGGUGAAAUGUGGACUGUAUCAAUGGUUUGUGUUGUAACAAUGUUACAGCCCAAGGUAUUUACUGGCUUAAUUGUGUGUAUCAGAGCCUGACACUCUUCGCGUUGGUUAUUUUUCAUCCCAACUAGUAUGUGUCAUUCCUUUAUUCCUGCAUAUUUGACUGAGUUGAUGGUAAUUGAAAUAUAUAUAUAUAUAUAUAUAUAUANNNNNNNNNNNNNNNNNNNNAUAUAUAUAUAUAUAAUAUAUGUAUCAAUGUAUGUAUAUAUAUGUAUAGAUCAGCUGCCCAUUUGAAUUGGUUAUUUAGAACAAUGUUUACCGAGUCAAAUGAUUUCCAAAAGUCAGCUUGCUCCACUAGGAACCUAAGAAUUGUUAUUUUUUUGCUGAGACAGGUAUCCAGGGUUAUUCAAAAUUUUCUGGUCAUAAUUUUCAAAGGACUGAGAAAACAAUUUCUACAUAGUAAAAAAUGAUAAAUUUCAUUUAGUCUAUUGAAAAUUCACAAAUAUAUGCUAUAUUAGUUGAAAAGUUGGAAAUAAGCAUCCUGCGUUUGGUAGGAAAUCAACACCCUUGAUACAUAAAUAUUAUCAUCUUUAGUUAGUAAAGUUCUGCUUCUGAGUUCCACCAGAAACAGUUCAUAAUUGUCAUUAUUUUGAUGAUCUCGCUACUAAGAUGCCAAUAGGUGUUGAAACCAGUAGUGUUCGUGUUUUAAAUACUUCCAUGUUCUUCAUAUUAAUCUUCAGCUUGCUUCCAUCACAAUAUUGGGCUGAAGUUUAUAAUGUUACUUCUUCACAGCCAUUGGCACAGGGACAAACUCUAGUUUCUCCUAACCAAGUUUUUGAAUUGGGAUUCUUUAGUCCUAAUAGUUCUGCUAAUAUGUACGUGGGGUUGUGGCACAAAAGUAUAUUUCCUCGUAAAAUUGUAUGGGUAGCUAACAGAGAAAACCCCCUUGCAGUUAAAGACACCUUGGCUACUUUGAGAAUCGGCAGCAAUGGAAAUCUGGAGCUUGUAGAUGGGAAGCAGAGUUCUGUAUGGUCAACCAAUGUUUCGGUGUCAACUAAUGGUUCGGCUGCAGUUCUUUUGGACAGUGGAACCUUUGUUCUCAAAGAUGACAUGGGAGCUGAUUUGUGGCAGACUUUUGAUUAUCCUAGUGACACACUUCUGCCAAACAUGAUGCUGGGAUUCGAUAGUAAUACUGGAAUCUGGAAUUUGUUGACAUCAUGGAAAGGUGAAAAUGAUCCAU